rnacentral:rRNA from 1 species
GCUGAACUUAAGCAUAUCAUACG